AAUUCUGCCGGAGUUAGUCUAAAACCCACAAGAGAGGAUGGAGGUGGUAGACUGUCAGCAAUCGAUUUCAGUUCUUGUUUAUCUUUAUUAGCAGCGGUUUCGGGAGCUUCUUCAUUUUCAUUGACUUGAAUUUUAAUACCAGACUUGGGAGCAAAGGGAGGAGGAUUGUAGCCAGCAAGAACGCGUUCGUAAAUAGCUGGGUCUGUCUCACUCUUAAGGCCGUAGUUGAAUGCAUAAAGACUGGCUGCUGCAACUAUGAAGUCAAAAUGCUCACGGUUGUGAAUAUCAAAAGAUAAUGGAGUAGGGGCACGCUUAGGACCAGACCAAAACGGUUGGCCAGUGGAGGUUACAGAAUCCUUAGGGAAAUUGAAAAGUAAUUGCUGAAUGUUGUUGUUAAAGAACUUAUCAAACUGCAAACGGGCCCACAUAAUACAUUCCUCAAAUG